GGGCGAGUGGCGGAAUUGGUAGACGCGCAGGGUUCAGGACCCUGUGGGCAGUGAUGUCUGUGGGGGUUCGAGUCCCCCCUCGCCCA
rnacentral:tRNA from 1 species